UGAAUACGAGACGCUAAGGCGUCGAAGUAGUGUAUGUCAUACUUCCAAGAAAAGCUUGCACUGUCAUAGAUAAAAAACGCCUGUACCAUAACCGACACAGGUGGGUAGGUAGAGUAUACUAAGGGGCGCGAGAUAACUCUCUCUAAGGAACUCGGCAAAAUAACUCCGUAACUUCGGGAGAAGGAGUGCCUUAUUCGUAAGGUUGCAAUAACAAGAUCCAAGCAACUGUUUAUCAAAAACACAGGUCUCCGCUAAGUCGUAAGACGAUGUAUGGGGGCUGACGCCUGCCCAGUGCCAGAAGGUUAAAGAAGUUGGUUAGCAAUUGCGAAGCUGAUAACUGAAGCCCUGGUGAACGGCGGCCGUAACAAUAACGGUCCUAAGGUAGCGAGAUUCCUUGUCGGGUAAGUUCCGACCCGCACGAAAGGCGUAAUGAUUUGGAUACUGUCUCGGAGAGGGGCUCGGUGAAAUAGACUUGUCUGUGAAGAUGCGGACUACCUGCACCAGGACAGAAAGACCCUAUGAAGCUUUACUGUAACUUGAAAUUGAAAUUGGACUUUAUUCGCGCAGUAUAGGUGGGAGGCGUUGAUUAUAAUCUUGUGGGAUUAUUGGAGCCAUCAGUGAGAUACCACUCUUGUAAUGUUAGAUUUCUAACUUUGAAUCAUUAUCUGGUCAAAGAACAGUUUCAGGCGGGCAGUUUGACUGGGGCGGUCGCCUCCUAAACGGUAACGGAGGCGUACAAAGGUUUCCUCUGAACGGUUAGAAAUCGUAUCUAGAGUGUAAAGGCAUAAGGAAGCUUGACUGUGAGACCUACAAGUCGAGCAGGGACGAAAGUCGGUCUUAGUGAUCUGACGGUACUGAGUGGAAAGGCCGUCACUCAACGGAUAAAAGUUACUCUAAGGAUAACAGGCUGAUCUCCCCCAAGAGUUCACAUCGACGGGGAGGUUUGGCACCUCGAUGUCGGCUCAUCGCAUCCUGGGGCGGUAGUACGUCCCAAGGGUUGGGCUGUUCGCCCAUGAAAGCGGUACGCGAGCUGGGUUCAGAACGUCGUGAGACAGUUCGGUCCAUAUCCGGUGUAGGCGUUAGAAUAUUGAGAGGAGCCUUCUUUAGUACGAGAGGACCGAGAAGGACAUACCUCUGGUGUACCAGUUAUCGUGCCAACGGUAAACGCUGGGUAGCUAUGUAUGGAGUGGAUAACCGCUGAAAGCAUCUAAGUGGGAAGCCCACCUCAAGAUAAG
rnacentral:rRNA from 1 species